UUUAUUAACAUUUAAGACGAAAUUGACACACUCAACCUAACUGAUGCUCCGGAGAGAGGUGAACUUUAUAGGUUUGAAUUUUGGCGUUACAUCGAUAAAUAGGAACCAAAUAUCAACAAAUUAUUUGUUCAACCAUUAACUGCCCACUUGAUUGUUUGUUCGUAUCAACUUUUUCUUUCAUCAUUAAAUGAGACAAGAGGCCAACAUCAAAACAAAAGGGCGGGUUACCUGGCAUGAAUCUCUUACGAGAGCUUGACAAAAACUUACAAGAGAACUCACAAGCCAAAGAAGAACUCACAAGCCACUAAUUGCCUAAUUGGCUUCACAAUAGACAUGGUUAAUCAUCACAUCUCGUUGCGAUUGCCUACUGCUACAACUUGAGAGUGUGACUAACAUAUCCUUCUUGGGUCAUCCUUGAUCCUGGUACCGUUGAUUAUUAUUUGUGUACAUCAG
rnacentral:misc_RNA from 1 species